AACGAACGCUGGCGGCGCGUCUUAAACAUGCAAGUCGAACGAUCUGUAGCAAUACAGGGAGUGGCGGACGGGUGAGGAACACGUAGGAAUCUACCUUGAAGAGCGGGACAACUUUGGGAAACCGGGGCUAAUACCGCAUAGUACAGAGAUGUUAAAGGGCUAGCAAUAGUCGCUUCGAGAUGAGCCUGCGGUCUAUCAGCUUGUUGGUGAGGUAAUGGCUCACCAAGGCUACGACGGAUAGCCGGUCUGAGAGGAUGAUCGGCCACACUGGCACUGAGACACGGGCCAGACUCCUACGGGAGGCAGCAGUUAAGAAUCUUGCGCAAUGGGGGAAACCCUGACGCAGCGACGCCGCGUGAAGGAUGAAGGCUUUCGGGUUGUAAACUUCGGUAGACUGGAAGAAGAAAUAACGUUCGUUGAGGGCGUAUAGUGACGGUACCAGUCUGAAGCCCCGGCUAAUUACGUGCCAGCAGCCGCGGUAAGUCGU
rnacentral:rRNA from 1 species